GCAAGUCGAACGGUAACAGGUUAAGCUGACGAGUGGCGCACGGGUGAGUAAUGUAUCGGAACGUGACCAGUCGUGGGGGAUAACUGCUCGAAAGAGCAGCUAAUACCGCAUACGACCUGAGGGUGAAAGCGGGGGAUCUCAAGCCCCCGCGCGAUUGGAGCGGCCGAUAUCAGAUUAGGUAGUUGGUGAGGUAAAGGCUCACCAAGCCGACGAUCUGUAGCUGGUCUGAGAGGACGACC
rnacentral:rRNA from 1 species